CACAAAAGAAUUUUAAAUUUUUAGGUUCGUGUCGGAUUUUCCUAAAACCACGUAAACUACGGAUUUUUUUUUCCGGAAAAUCCUCACCAGGCUGCGCCACUUUUGCUUUUUCGACGGGAGCUACCGGGUUACCCUGGGAUUUUCACCAGGGAUAAAUGUACCGAAGGGAGAAAUUAAAGACGUAUUGCCGAUUUUGAGGCUACUUUAAUACUAAUAGAAUAUGCGACGCACCGUUGCCACCGUUACAAAAAUGCUUACAUUGAAUUCAACGAAUCUAAUCGAGAACGGAUGGACGAGCCAUAACUAGGUAACUUCUGUUAGAAGUGUAAAAAAGUGUCUCUAAAUAAAGUUAAACUCUGAAUUUGUGCUGUCCUUUUUCGCAGGGCACAUUAUGAAAGUGAUAAAAAUAUAUUUAGACCUGUAAUUUUAGUUUUGAGAUUGUAUAUAACAUUAUUACACUAUAAGUAUUAGCCACAAUUGAGAAACUUUUUAAGAAAACAUCAUAUACAAAACGUAUUUUAAAUACAUAUGUAAAAGAUUAUGUGCAACAUAAAUUAGUUAUAAAGAAGAAAACAAAGCGAACCCGAAAGUAGGAUAUGCAUUAAGUUAUUAAAAAACCCCACGAAAGAUUUUUAUCAUCAUGACCAGGGGGUGGUAUCCAUAGUACAAGGCCUGUUGAACGUAUAGAAUUUGUAAGUGUGUGUGUUGCGGAAAUAUCAGUGUGGCCAACUACAUUUUUUUUUAUUAACUUUUCCUUUUUUGCUCUAGCAAUACUUGAUUUUAAUGUCGUUUCUGUGUCAUCGUAACUCAAAACCUAGAACCCAGAGUCGUAAAACUGAUAAAAAAAAGGAACUUCUAUCCAGUUUUAUUUUCUGUAAUCCUGUGAUGGUGGUAUUUUUUGUUUUGUGACUGAGUAUUGUGAAAAUUGAAUCGAACCUUUUGUUGUGUUUUUGAGAUUACUCGCCACAACAAAACGUGUUAUUUCAGUUUGGCUAUUGGACCUUAGCUGUGCGCUUGAGAUUCCUCGCUACAGCGAAACUUGUUGUUUUAGUUUGGAUAUUGGACCAUAGUUGUGCGCUUGAGAUUACUCGCCACGACGAAACGUUUUAUUUUUAAUUUUCUUGAACUAAUUUAUGUGCUCAGUUGUUACAUCUUAAAAUGUCUACAGACAGUUAUAGAAAGUGCGCUAAAUGUGGAGCAACCCCCACUCAGGAUGGCAUUGUGUCAUUCCAUUGAUUCCCUAAACCUGGAAAAACAAAUGUUGAACGAUGAACUUCCAGCUGAAGCACAAGCCACAGCUACGCUCUUGGGCAAUUUUGACCAAUUAUUCGAUGCUCUUAAUGCGAAAACUCCAGAUUUACGGAGAGGGAAAAAAACCUCCACAUACAAAAACAUAUUAUGAUGUCCACAUUUUAUAUAUGCACUAAAAGUCAUCUAGUAUUGAAAAAUAGAGAGUUUGGUGAGGAAGAAACAGCGAAGUCGUUGCAAAGGAAAAUGUUAAUAAAGAAAAAUAAAUAAUUUAUAAGCAAA